rnacentral:tRNA from 1 species
CGAAAUAGCUCAGUAGGUAGAGCAGAGGACUGAAAAUCCUCGUGUCGGUGGUUCAAUUCCGCCUUUCGGC